rnacentral:rRNA from 1 species
GGGCCUACGGGACGCAGCAGUGGGGGAUAUUGCACAAUGGGGGAAACCCUGAUGCAGCAACGCCGCGUGAGUGAAGAAGGUCUUCGGAUUGUAAAGCUCUGUUCUUGGUGAAGAUAAUGACGGUAGCCAAGGAGAAAGCUCCGGCUAAAUACGUGCCAGCAGCCGCGGUAAUACGUAUGGAGCAAGCGUUAUCCGGAUUUACUGGGUGUAAAGGGAGAGUAGGUGGCAGAGCAAGUCCGAAGUGAAAACCCAAAGCUCAACUAUGGGAAUGCUUUAGAAACUGCUCAGCUAGAGUGCAGGAGAGG